rnacentral:pre_miRNA from 7 species
UUAUCAUCAAGGCUGGAAGCGUGGCAGUGUAAGACCCCCUUUCGGGGACCCCCACUCUAGUCUCGGGAGUGUGAGAGCACCCAAAGAAACACGAGGACCC